GGUGGGGAAGGUACAUGACCUGGAGUUCUUUGGAGCCCAGGGAUUCUGCAUUAGCACUUAUGCAACCUCCAUAUAUAUAUAUUUAAGUUUUCCGGCAAGACCUAAGCUGACAUAUCUUUAGAUCAAGGUUAACUGCAGAGUUCAGCUAGAGCUUGAGACUAAGGAAUCCCCAAUCUUGCUAUACAACCCAGCUUCACUGGACACACGUCUGGAGAUCAGGCCCGGUGGCAGUUUUCCACUUUAAGAGAAAAUCCUGCAGAUGAGAGAAAGGACUCCCUUCUUUCUCCCUCAUUUCUGACUCUUAAUAGUCCAGCUCAAGUUGCAUCGAACUUUUUCACAGAACACAACUUUUCUUAGUCGGGCAUUGGUCUUCUACACCUGGGCUGCACAGGAUGGCCAGAGAAGACCUGUCUUCAAAAUGACUGUCAUGGACCCAAGAAGUGGGGUGCAGAGAAUGAGCCCACUAUCCUCUGUCACGCAAGUCUGGGCUUCAGGAUCUCCCUCACCAUUCUUCCAUCCCGUCCUUCAGACACCAUAGAUUUUGUGGCCCCUCUUAAAAGCUCAUCUGUGUGCUUAUAAUCCCACUAGCCUUGCUCUCCUUGCCUAAAUUCUCUUGGUGUAAAGUUGGAGAAAGCAGCCUAGUACCUGGGCCCUUCCCAUGGCUCAGACCUUGAAACUGAUGUCAAUGCUUUGUUCUUCGUAAACAAUGGCUUUUUAUAGAGGGGGAAAGUUGGCAGGCACCAUUCAGCAGUUGGGGUGUAACUGAGUCAAAGGUUCCUGUCCCAGCGCUGAAGGUUGUUUCCAAAGUAAGGAUGUGCAAGCCAUUCAGGCUUUGUGGAGAUUCAUAGAUAUG